AUGGAUUACAAAUCUAUGCUUUUUCUACUCUGUCUCUCUGUGCAGGUAUUGCUGUCUCCUGAGUUCUUCAGUGUCCCAACUGAGACAUUCAAACCUCAUUGCAGAGCUCAUGUCUUUCCUCACCAUCAUGUGAGUGUGAGAUUGCUCUGGAUUCUGGUUAUGUGGCCUGCAGCACCUAUAAGAACAAGCUCAUACAGUGUGACUGCAUUCCAGCUUCUUAGACUCUACGCAAGUGGACACAGUAUCAGUGUUUGACCGCUCUUACAGACACCGACUUCUGUCAACUCACUGCUACUGAUCAGGCACCUCACUCCAGGAAGACAGAGGGCUGCAAGCCUGUCAUCGUUUCCAGUGUGGCUUUGUAUUCUUGGGGUAGCAUCAGAUUUUUCCCACAAAUAUUCAAAGGUAACACUUAUUUUAAGCUUAGUUAUUAAAUCAAAAGUCUUCCCUUCUGUUAAUUUUUUUGUUUUCUUUUACAUUUAUAUGCAGUGAUCGGAUGUGGUGGAGCUUUGUUAACUGUGUGGAAAACAUCUGUUUGUGAUGAUAUUUACAAUGAGGCUUUAAGGUGACAGUUUCCAUUUAAUUUCAAUCCUUUUACUAAGCAAAAACAUGUUUGCAAUUAACAUAUUUUUUUCAGUUUUGUCUUUUGGAUUUAACAUUCCUCUGUGACAGCAAAUACUAAACUGGUCCAAGUAACCAGCAUAUCAUUGGUCAAAGGCAAAAAGGACCACAUGUCACGCUAGCAAUAAAUUUUUGACUGUGUUUGUGUCACCAGAUUGAACAAACAAUAUCAGACAUAUGAAACUGAACUCUGGAUUAAUGUGCAGAUGUUUUUUGUGGUUUUUUUAUUGUUGAAUAAUUAUUUUGUAGGACAAACCCAAUCUAUUUACCCAAACAAUGUAACUUGUUUGGGUAAAUAGUGGAUUAAUAUAUCAAAGUCUAAGUAUAGCAAGCUGAAUUCAUACAAACACACAGCUCUAAAUCUUGAAUUGUAGAAUGCACAAUAAUGAUCAUUUGAUUAUUAUGGACAUUUAAAUCAGAAUCUAUUGAACCAGACACAUAUUCUUUAUAGAGAUUACACAAUCUCAAAAAAAAAGAAAGUGUUUAAGAGGAUAAGUAAAGAAAGCUCAAAGUGUGUUUGUAUGAAUAUUGUCUUAGUAUGGGGUGUCAGUAAGUACAUGAGUAUAGAAUAGGUGUAACAGUGGUUUUCCACAUCUGUGCUUAGACUGCUCUAAUAUAUAUAGAUAAUGGGUGAGACAUAUAGUUUGACCUAUUAAGUCUGUUUGAAAAGUUCAUGAAGGUCUCAUCCAGUGCUAUGUGUUUCUGUUUAUCAUUUUAUGAGGUCACACAGCUGACAUGAGUCAGAGUAGAACCAUAAUAUUCAUGUUAAUGAGUCUACUGUUUACAGCUACUUCAUGAUGACUUUCAUCCUGGUCACAGUACUAUGUGAAAAGCUGUAAGAGGUAAAGUUAACCCAAAUAAUAGCUGAUUAUAAGUCACUCUCUAACAUUGAUUAUUUUUCAAUAUAAUUUAUUCCACAACAAUGUUCUUUAUUUUAUCCCUGUUUCUUCAAAUAUGCACAUCAAUUGUUCAGCUGUGUGACUCUCCAUACCUGAAAUAUAUCACAAUGUGAACUUCAUUUCAACAGUAUUCCUUAGUUUGGUACCAUAUUUAUCAUCAAAUUAGGAAACUGUAAACUAAUUGAAAAAAGAAGCUUUUGAACAUUUUAAUGUGUAAAAAUAUAUAUAUGUAUAAUUUUUUAAAUUAAUAGAACAUAAACAUGGCAAACAAAGAUAUAUUCACAAUUCUAACGGAUGUUUCAAUUGCUUGUAUAGAUUUUAGAUUAAUUUGGUCAAACAUCUGUUUGAAACUGUGGUUAUCAGAGUGUUGAU
ensembl:lncRNA